GAUGAACGCUGGCGGCGUGCUUAACACAUGCAAGUCGAACGGUGAAGGCGGAGCUUGCUCUGCUGGAUCAGUGGCGAACGGGUGAGUAACACGUGAGCAAUCUGCCCCUGACUCUGGGAUAAGCGCUGGAAACGGCGUCUAAUACUGGAUACGAGCUGCGAAGGCAUCUUCAGCAGCUGGAAAGAAUUUCGGUCAGGGAUGAGCUCGCGGCCUAUCAGCUUGUUGGUGAGGUAAUGGCUUACCAAGGCGUCGACGGGUAGCCGGCCUGAGAGGGUGAUCGGCCACACGGGAACUGAGACACGGUCCAGAGGGCUACGGGAGGCAGCAGUAGGGAAUCUUCCGCAAUGGGCGAAAGCCUGGCGGAGCAGCGCCGCGUGAGUGAUGAAGGUCUUCGGAGCGUAAAACGGUGUUAUGAGGGAAGAACAUAUGUGGAAGGAACUGUGCACAUCUUGACGGUACCUAAUCAGAAAGCCACGGCUAACUACGUG
rnacentral:rRNA from 1 species